rnacentral:misc_RNA from 1 species
AAGCCAGAAGGGUUGAACAUAAAGGGAAAAAUUGUCCAUAAAACCAUAAGGAAACAGCAAGAGAUUGUCAUGCUUUUGUGGACAAAAGUAUUUGUAGUCAAAUCACUGUCGGAAGCAUAUAUUAUUAGAAUGACUCCAACCUCCAUUGCCUUCACAACAUGCAUUCGUGCAAAUAGUCUAUAGUUCCUUUGAGACAAAAUGACUCCAACCCAUUCCUUCGAUGGCACAUAAAACCAA